UGGGGUUAUUAAGACUUUGGAUACAUUGAGGGAACACUUAUUUUGGCCUCAUAUGAAGAGAGAUGUUGAGAAAGUGUGUUCUAGGCGUAUCACAUGUAAAAAAGCAAAGUCUAAGGUCUUACCUUAAAGCUUAUAUACACCUUUGCCUAUACCUAGUGAACCAUGGAUUGGUUUGUCUAUAGACUUUAUUUUGGGAUUGCC
rnacentral:misc_RNA from 1 species